rnacentral:tRNA from 1 species
AGUAUUACGCCGGAUGAACGGAAAUCAUUGAUGUUGAUUAAUAUGGGGAGAAAUUCCUCUAAUACUA